rnacentral:rRNA from 1 species
UACAGAGGUCUCAAGCGUUGUUCGGAUUCAUUGGGCGUAAAGGGUGCGUAGGCGGCGCGGUAAGUCGGGUGUGAAAUCUCGGAGCUUAACUUCGAAACUGCAUUCGAUACUGCCGUGCUUGAGGACUGGAGAGGAGACUGGAAUUUACGGUGUAACGGUGAAAUGCGUAGAUAUCGUAAGGAAGACCAGUGGCGAAGGCGGGUCUCUGGACAGUUCCUGACGCUGAGGCACGAAGGUCAGGUGAGCAAACGGG